UAGAUUAAAAAUUAAAUCGAUCUCGGUUGCUCCGAUCGAUCUUCCAAUUCGACUCUUCUCUGUUACGUUUCCUUUCUUCCUUAAAUUCAAUUGUCUCUUCGUCUCUUCCCCCUCUCCUAACCUCACUCUCCCACCUCGACAGAAACUCAAACCAUUUUGUACGAAAAGGUAAAAGAUAUCCCUAUAUUUCCUUUUUCUUGCAUCCAAAAUCGCACCAGAUCUCAAGGUAUGUUCUAUUUUCAAUUCAAUUGUUCUCUGUCCUAGAGUUUUUUGAUUAGUUUUGGAAUCGUCUCUUCAUAUCCUGUUCAAUUGGGUUGAUGAUAAGCAUCAAAUAAAUUAUAUGUCAACUGCUAUAACACUAUCCUGCCGUGAUGAGGUUUUACAAUUUCAGUCUCGGACAAUUUUCUUGGUUAGUAGGCCUAAGGUGUUUUAUAGCACUGAAUCAUUUUUUUUCUUUGUACUGAAAAGACUAAACAUCAUCUCCGAGUGCAGAGUACCAAAUUUUCUUCCAAUCCUUUAAUCUCUCUCUCUCUUUCUCUCUCUAUCUCUCUCUCUCUAUAUAUAUAUAUAUUAAUGUGGAUUUUUCAGUUUGUUGAUACUAAAAGUCAUAUUAAAGCCCUUUUCAUAAACACCAAACACGAAAAUUAUAGCAUAUUCUUACCUCCAUUCUCCACGGGUUGGUGGUCUUCUCUUCUUUUUCUCUCUUCUAUUAUGUAAUUGGGCUAGAUUUAUUGUUGAAAUUAAAAUGAUUAUGCCUAAAUAUUUUAGGAAUUUGGUUUAAUUUCUAAAAUUUGUUCUUAAUUAUAGAUUAAUUUGAAGUUUUUAUUCCUAAUUGUUUAGGAUUUUUGACUAAUUGAGAUGAGGCUUUCGUCCUGUAACUUUUAAUUUGGGUGUUGAGCUAUUGUUUGUAUUUUAUUUGGUUUACUUAUUGAUAUUGAUUUUAUUUAUAAAACAAACACAACAUAUUGAUUUCUCCGUGGGAAUUUGCUUGCUCGGACACAUUUAUUGAAAAGUUGCGCAGAAAUUGUUGAUUUUUCCUUCUUAAUGUUUGUUAUGUUUUUCAAAAUAGGUUGGAAAGCAAGGUGCUGACAAAUGGAAGUCAAUGACUGAUGAAGUGAGUGAUAAUCUGAAACUGUAAACCAUAAAACUUAUUAUCUUUUGAUGGUGUUUUGAUUACUUGAACAUAUAUUUGUUUAAUUAGGAGAAGAAACCUUAUUUGGAUAAAGUUACUACCUUAUUUGGAUAAAGUUGCUGAGUUUAAUUAAUGUUUGAAGAAUAUUUUCAUAUAAAUUAAGAUGAUCAAUUACAAUUUUAAUUUUAUAAAUAAGCCUACACAAAUGCAUUAUUAAAN
rnacentral:lncRNA from 1 species